rnacentral:lncRNA from 1 species
UUUUCAUCAUUUCUCAAAACUAAUAUCGAAACAAUAAAAUUUUCGUUGUAGAAUUUGAAUCCUUUCAAAAAGAAAAAAAUAUUAGCUCAAAACUAAUACAAAAUGCUGGAGAUGCAAGGUAUGAUGGAGAAGAUGAUAAGAAUUUGAAUCCUAUUUUCAAAACCCCUUUAAUUUAUUUUUCAUAACCAAAAGAUGUAGCAGAAGUAGGUGAAUGUGAAACAUUCCAAGACAUUGUUGCAGCUACUUUUUCUGUAACUUCUUUUCUUGUUUUAAUUGGUUUUAUUUUACCAACAAAGGUAGGAAGAAAAACACAAAGAGCAUUGCAUUUGAAUCCAUCAUGUGUUGAAAAUCAUUGAAACCUCAUACACACAAACUAAAUAAUUUCUACGUAAAAUAUUAUCGAACCUACGUAAACCAUUGAAAACCUUUUGAAUGUGAAUCUACCUAAAAAAUAAUUAAUUUUGAUUAAUAAACGAAACAACAAAUCAUUGAAAACUCACAAAUACAAAGUCAAUAAUUUCAAAAUUUGUAUCGGUUGAAUUAAUUAAGAUUUGUAGAUAUCAUUUUCUAAUUUUAUUUAAAUUGAAAAUGAAAAAUAAAUCCACAUGAUUAUUCUCACCUAGUAGUCACCUUGAAGAAAGUAAAAAAUUU